AAAAUACUAUAGCCGACGAAUAAACCUUUAAAUAUCGUCGGCUAAACCUUUAAAUAUCGUCGGCUAAAGUUGCUGGUUUUUGGAAAAAAAACUGCAGAAACUUUCGGCCAUCUCCAAUCACCACCAAAAUUUGACAGAAUCUUCUUCUCAACAUUUCGAACAACUUUCUAGAAGAAGUCGAAGCCCAAUUCUAAGUCUAAAUAGGUCAAUUGAAUCAAAAUAUAAAAAUCCCCAAUUUUAAACCCUAAAAACUUCAAAUCUUCGAUUCUCCUCACACACACCGAAUUGAGCUACCAAAUUCUAGGGGAAUGUAGUACUAAUCAAACUCAACUUAUCCAUAUAUAGAACUCACCAAAUGGUGACCUGAGGAAGGAGAAAUUCGAUCGACACCGAAUCCGAACCGGCGGAGUUUUAGAGCUCGAUUUAUCUCUCACAGCGGCGCCACUCGAUGCACCACCUAUCCAGCAAUGAAGUAGAGACGACGGCGAAGCUUUUGGGACAAGUGUGGCGGUCUCCGGUGGCUUAACGGCGGAGGGCGGAGCUAGGCCGAGAAGAAAAUCUGGCAGGCGAAAUAAAGUUCUUACCAUCCACCUUCAGUAAUAUAAAGAACUUUAGCCGAUGAAAUUCUUUAUUUUCGUCGGCUAAACUCUUUUGAAAAUUUUGACAAUUUUGGUUGACAGCCAAAAAAUUUUGGUUGAAAAUUUUGAAAAUUUUCGACUUUAGCCGACGACUUUUCAUAUAUUUUCGUCGGCUAAAGUCCUUUGAAAAUUUUCCUCCAAAUUUGGUUUACCGCCCAAAAAUUUUUGACCUUAGCCGACGACUUUUUUAAUAUCUCGUCGGCUAAAGUCUAUAAAUUCACGAAAACGCUCAUAUCUCCCCCUAUUUUACGUAGUUUGGUCAAACCUUCCACACGAAAAACUUUCACGUAGAUGAGACGCAACUGCCUAUAUAAAAAUUUUGAGACAUUUGCCUUCCGACGAUAGGCCUCCCCAUAGGGAAUAAUAACGGUAAAUAGGGUUGACCGCUACUAUCGGCACCGAGACUUUACCCGAUUUACGUAUUUUUGAACCAUAGCCGUAUUUCACCAUUCUGAACACAUCUUAUUUCACGAGAUUUUUGAUAAUAUUGCUUCCUAUAUAGAGUUGGUUCACAAUGUUGUAUAACCUACUAAACAAGUUAUACAACAUUAAUAGACACGUUGUGAUUCCGAUGACUAAAAUUCACAAACCAAAAUUUGACCGUCAGAUAUGAUCAUUAUGACGAAAGAUGUCUAUGGUAAAAAAUUCAACUGGAUCCGACAACGUUAAGGACUCGAUCGAAACGGGUAACCCUAAUCCAUCGUCACUUAUCACACGAAAACGCUCAUAUCUCCCUCUAUAUUACGUGGUUUGGUCAAACCUUCCACACAAAAAAACUCUCGCGUAGAUUAGAUGCAACUGCCCAUAUAAAAAAUUUUGAGACAUUUACCUUCCGACGAUAGGGCUCCCCAUAGGGAAUAAUAACGGUAAAUAGUAGACAAGUUGUGAUUCCGAUGACUAAAAUUUACAAACCAAAAUUCAACGUUAAGGGCUCGAUCGAAACGGUCAACUCUAAUCGGAAAUAAGAAAACUGUAUUUUGAAGCCCUAAACGGACUCGGAUGGCCAAAAAGGCUCAUACAUUAUGGCAUUAGCCAUGAGUUUGACUUCGUAGGGCCGUUAUGCUUCCUGAAAGGUAUCACAAUAGUCAAUCAGACACCAAAAACCAAAUCUGCAGCAUAGUGAAUAAUAAGGGUAAAUUGCAUUGACCGCAACUAUCGGCACCGAGACUUUACCAGAAUACCGUGAUUUUUCAACUGUAGACGGUAUUUCACCAUUCUGGUCAUAUCUUUAUUUCACGACUUUUUUUGCGUUUGAAGGUUUCUACGUAUAGUUUUUUUUUUUUCCAGAUGAGUUGUUGUCCAGAUCUGCAAAUAUAAGGCACUUUAGCCGACGAAAUUAAGACACUUUAGCCGAUGAAAUUAUAUUUUUCGUCGGCUAAACUUUUAAAAAUUUCGUCGGCUAAAGUUCACAGACUAUAGCCGACGAAAAAAAUUAUUCAGACGACGAAAUUUUAAUUUCGUCGGCUAAAGUUGACCAUAGGCGACGAAAAUUUUUAAUUAGCCGACGAAGGAAAAUUUCACUUUAGCCGACGAAAAAAUAAUUCGUCGGCCUGAUUUUUUUAUUUUCGUCGGCUAAAGUCUUUCUUCUGGUAGUGUAGUGUGAACAGCUAGCUUGCCUAGAAACAAGUGGGAUGGGCUUCUCUAGUUCAACUGGACUACUACCUGCUUGUCCCCCAUUACCAUUACCUGGAAUAAACUGUGACUUGUAAGUUUCAAACUUCAUGACCCAAAAUGCAUUGUUUUCUUCAAUUGUUUUCUUCCUUGUCUCUUCUAUGAUCUUUGCCGUUUGCUCAGCCAGUACUUUUUCCAGGCUGAUUUUAAUUGUUUCUUCUAUGCUUUGUCUGCUGUUACGUCUAGGGAGGUGAAAGUAGGGUGUUGGGUUGACAAAGCCGGCAACCCCUCGCACUCUGCCACCAUGCUCCUUCCCCAAAGCCUUCUCCAAAACAUCAUUAUACCCACUUAGGCUAGUUUCUCCAGUAGAAACCUUCUCCUUCAACUCAAUCUGUCCACAAAAUUAAAAUUUAGCAUAUCACAAUUAAAAUGUGUUGUUGCAGAUUUCAUUAAAAUUUAUCAUCAUAUUUAAAAUCUGUUGCUGCAGACUUCAUUAAAAUUUAGCAUGACAAUUGAAAUCUGUCCACAAUGAACUUUAGUAAAAUGCAUGCACUUGCUAUCUCUUCAGCCUUCUUCUGUGUUUCUUCAUCUGCAAAUUUUCCCUCCUUUGUAACACGUGCAACAACCCAUGUCUCAGACCUGUCGCACAGCUCAUCUUCAUCCGAUAUUGUUGAAGCCUCUUCCUGGCGUUUAUAAGCACUUGUUACCAAAACAUCAUAAUUAAAUUUGCUGCUAGCAUUUAGAUCAACCAUUUCAUUUUACAUAAUAUAAACAAAUAUGCUGGACUUACCGACUCUGCUUGUGCCGGCUCGGCUUUUGCCUUCAACUCUGCCACCAGCACAACGUAGCCUUUGCAGGACAGUCGGUGGGGAUACUUGUUCAUCCUGCAGCGUGCUUGUUGAGUCUUACGCAAUUCCUGAUCAAGUAAACAUAUGCACUGAUGAGGGACCCUGGUAAUGAAACAUUUAAUUAGUAAUUAAUAACACUGUUCACUUAACUACUUACAAGAAAUGCCGGCUUAGUCCGCUCAGUCACAAAUUGCGUCCAAUGAUCUGCAUUGAUGAACUUGUAGUCUUGUAGAGGAUACUUCAACAUUUUUGGCUGAUCCAAGUAAGACACAAUGUAUGCCUUUGUCAGACAAGACUUGAAUUCUCUCCAUCAUGUGGCGUGCUUGUUGAGUUUUACGCAGUUCCUGAUCAAGUAAACAUAUGCACUGAUGAGGGACCCUGGUAAUGAAACACUUAAUUAGUAAUUAAUAACACUGUUCGCUUAACUACUUACAAGAAAUGCCGGCUUAGUCCGCUCAGUCACAAAUUGCGUCCAAUGAUCUGCAUUGAUGAACUUGUAGUCUUGUUGAGGAUACUUCAGCAUUUCUGGCUGAUCCAAGUAAGGCACAAUGUAUACCUUUGUCAGACGAGACUUGAAUUCUCUCCAUCUUGUAGCAGUUGAUUGCAUUACAACUCUUUUGCUUUCAUUUCCAAUAACAAAUGCUCCCUAUGUUCGUAAAAACAUAUCAUUUAAGUGUAGGAAAUGUGUCAUUAAAAUGUGUCAUUCAUAGCCCUCCUUCUCAACGCACUUUCCCAACACAAAUGUGUCAUUAAAAUGAACUUUCUUAUUCAGGUUCGCCAAUGUGAACCCAAGCUCAUCUACUACAACUCCCCUUCCAUUAUCGACCCAAUCACACUUAAAGAUUGGGAUCCUAAACUUCUCAUAGUCAAGCUCCCAUAUUUCAGUAACUACGCCAUAGAAACUCAUCUCAUCUCUGAUCAUCCUUUUAUCCCUAGCACUAGCUACUUGUGGUGUAUCAGCAACCAAGUACACACCACUGUUUUGUGUCGAUCAGACAUCAUCUUUCCCCUUUGUGGUAUAUAGAGUUCCGCUUAUUUUAUAGCCACUGUAACUGAGAACUUCAUUACUCGGCUUGUCUGAAAGCCAUCUCACAAUUUCAGGGAUGUCAGCAGCUGAUUCACUCAUUUGGUCAGCAACCUACAAUAUCAUAACACAUUAACAAUUAAUUAAGAUACAACUUCAUAUUACUAGUUUAUAUGUAAAAAUAACAAAUCACUAGUUUGGAACUUGCCUUUUGUUUCAGCCAGUCAGCAAAUGUCUUGUUUUGCUUGUCCGUGAGCCACUUUUGAUCCUUGCGGAAUCUUGGAAACUCUUGUUUCAAGAACUCCAAGUGCUCACUGCAAUUACCAACAAAAGAGAGGCAGUGAAUUAAAAUUAGUGUUUCCUUGCAAAAACAGUAACAUAAACCACAUACAUUAGGUAAAAGGGUAAUAAAACUUACUCAAAGUAGCUUAUGAAUUCAUUUUUGUUUUGAAGGACGCAUAAGUGAGCUUGGUCAAAUAGGUUGCUGUAAACACUAACACCAUGAGCACCAGAGGUAGGCCUGUCCCCAGUGUCACGAGCAGAUGGGAUUCCAGUAGUCUUGUCUUCCAAUAAGAGUUCUGCUAAAAACUCAACCGCUUCUUCAGCAAUAUAAUUCUCAGCCAUGCAACCUUCACGCCUAGCUUGAUUUCGAACAUAUCCCUUACAAACCUUCAUGUACCUCUCGAAUGGAUACAUCAAUCGAUAGCAAACUGGUCCACAUAACUCCACCUCUCUCACUAGGUGGAGUGUUAAAUGAACCAUUAUGGUGAAAAAUGAUGGUGGAAAGUACUUUUCCAGCUCACACAUGGUUUCAGCAAUAUCAUUCUGAAUUUUCUGUAGCCUUGAUACAUCAGUAGUCUUGCUGCAGAUUUCAUAGAAAAAAAUGCAUAAUCUGAUCACUACAAUUCUAACAGGCUUUUCAUGUACUCCUCGCAUACACUACCAGAAGAAAAGCUUUAGCUGACGAAAAUAAAAAAACCAGGCCGACGAAUUAUUUUUUCGUAGGCUAAAGUCCACGUUAGCCGACGAAAUUUUCCUUCAUCGGCUAAUUUAAAUUUUCGUCGGCUAUGGUCAACUUUAACCAAUGAAAUUAAAAUUUCGUCGGUUAAAGAAUUUUUUCGUCGGCUAUAGUUUGUGAAAUUUAGCCGACGACUUUCAAAAUUCUUUAGCCGACGAAAUUUUAAUUUCGUCGGCUAAAAUUUUGUUGGCUAAAAUGCCUUAUAUUUGCAGAUCGAUUUGGAUAGCAGCUCAUCUGGGAAAAAAAAAAACGGGAAAAAAAGUUUGGGUGUUGUCGAAAUCUUUCCAUAAUUAGUUUGUGGAGCUAUAUAUAGGUAUGUAUAUGUGUAUAUAUGUUGAAACUAUUUUCAGUUGAAGGUCCGGCCAAACUACGUAAUUUAGACGGUCCAAUGACCUUUUCCGUGCAUUAAGGGUUUAACUUACGGGAUUGACCGGCGGAUCGAGCCCUUAACCAUAUCGGAUCAAGUUGAAUUAUUUCCCAUACAUGUAUUUUAUCAUGAUGGUCAGAUCUGACGAUCGGAUUUUCGUUUCUUAAGUUUGAUCAUCACAAUCACAACAUGCAUACUAAUGUUGUAUAACUUGUUUACCAAGUGUUAAGUAAAUGUUCCCUUUCAAAAACAAACUAUACGUAGAACCUUCAAACGGAAAAAAGUCGUGAAAUAAGAUAUGACCAGAAUAGUGAAAUACGUCCACGGUUGAAAAAUCACGGUAUUCCGGUAAAGUCUCAGUGCCGAUAGAUGCGGUCAAUGCAAUUUUCCGUUCUUUCUCCCUAUAGGUAGCCCUAUCUUCGGUAGUUAUUUUCCUUAAAAUUUCUAUACGACUUGUUGCGUCUCAUUGGUUUGAAACUAUUUUCAGUUAAAGGUCCGGCCAAAAUACGUAAUUUAGAUGGUCCAAUGACUUUUUCCGUGGGUUUAGGGGUUUGACUUACGAGAUUGACCGUCCGGAUCGAGUCUUUAACCUUUGUCGGAUCAACUUGAAUUUUUUCCCAUACAUGUAUUUUAUCAUGAUGGUCAGAUCUGACGGUCGGAUUUUCGUUUCUCAAGUUUGAUCAUCACAAUCACAACAUGCCUAAUAAUGUUGUAUAACUAGUUUACCAAGUGUAUAAAAAGUAUAAAAAGUACUAUAGCCGACGACAUUAUUGAAAAUUUGUCGGCUAUAGUUAAUAAAUAAAAUAAAAAAAUAAAUUGAAAAUAUUAAAUAAAAAGUACUAUAGCCGAUGAAUUUCAUUACUUUAGCCGACAAGAUUAACAAGUUUAGUUGACAAAUUUCAUAGGUUUAGCCGACGAAAUUUUUAUUUCGUCGGCUAAAGGUAUAGGGUAUAUAAUUAAACCCAGCGCUCGACAGCCUCAACAACGCUCUAAAAAACCAUAAAAUACCCAGCGCUCGCCUGCCUCACCGUGACGCCGUCGCUCGUUUUUCAAAGUCUGCUCGCCCAUCGCCGUCGCCUGCUUGGCUGCUCCGCUGCUCGGUUGUUCGGCUGCUCUGCUCCCUUUCCAAGGUCAGGUACGGUCAUGAUCUCCCUUUUCAUAUUUCUUAGUAAGGAAUCGAUCGAAUGCCAUGUGGUUCCAUGUUCUUUCUUUUGAUUUCCAGCUUGGUAAUGCGGUAUAUGGGUUUGUGUUAACAUCAUUGUGUCUCACCAUUUUGCACCAAAUUAAUAAGACUACGAUGAAAAGGUGUGAUAUGCUAACAUAUUUUAAGUCGAAGAUUAUUAGAUUUUUGCAGUCGACGAAAUAACUAUAGCCGACGAAAUAUAGUCUAUUUCGUUGGCUGAACCUUAUAAAAAAAUUAAAAAAUAACUAUAGCCGACGAAAUAUAGUCUGUUUCGUCGGCUAAACCUUAUAAAAAAAUAAAAAAAUAACUAUAGCCGACAAAACAUGGCAUAUUUCGUCGGCUAAACCUUAUAAAAAAAUUAAAAAAUACUAUAGCCGACGAAUAUAGUAUUUAAAUAUCGUCGGCUAAAGUUGCUGGUUUUUGAAAAAAAAAACUGUAGAAACUUUCGGCCACCUUCAAUCACCACCAAAAUUUGACAGAGUCUUCCUCUCAACAUUUCGAACAACUUUCUAGAAGAAGUCGAAGCCCAAUUCUAAGCCUAAACAGGUCAAUUGAAUCAAAAUAUAAAAAUCCCUAAUUUUAAACCCUAAAAACUUGAAAUCUUCGAUUCUCCUCACACACACCGAAUCGAGCUACCAAAUUCUAGGGGAAUGUAGUAUUAAUCAAACUCAACUUAUCCAUAUAUAGAACUCACCAAAUGGUGACCUGAGUAAGGGGAAAUUCGAUCGACACCGAAUCCAAACCAGCGGAGUUUUGGAGAUCGAUAUAUCCCUCACGACGGUGCCACCCGUCGCACCACCUGUCCAGCAGUGAAGUAGAGACGACGGCGAAGCUUUUGGGACAAGUGUGGCAGUCUCCGGUGGCUUGUUGGCGGAGCUAGGCCGAGAAGAAAAUCUGGCAGGCGAAACAGACUUCUUACCGUCCACCUUCGGUAAAACUCCUAUAUAAAGAACUUUAGCCAACGAAAUUCUUUAUUUCGUCGGCUAAACUCUUUUGAAAAUUUUGGUUGACCGCCCAAAAAAUUUUUCGACUUUAGCCAACGAAAUCAUAUAUUUUCGUUGGCUAAAGUCUUUUGAAAAUUUUCCUCCAAAUUUGGUUUACCGCCCAAAAAUUUUUGACCUUAGCCAACGACUUUUUUAAUAUCUCGUCGGCUAAAGUCUAUAAAUUCACGAAAACACUCAUAUCUCCCUCUAUAUUACGUAGUUUGGUCAAACCUUCCACACGAAAAACUUUCACGUAGAUGAGACACAACCGCCUAUAUAAAAAUUUUGAGACAUUUACCUUCCGACGAUAGGGCUCCCCAUAGGGAAUAAUAACGGUAAAUAGGGUUGACCGUUACUAUCGGCACCGAGACUUUACCCGAUUUACAUGAUUUUUGAACCAUAGCUGUAUUUCACCAUUCUGAACACAUCUUAUUUCACGAGAUUUUUGAUAAUUUUUCUCCCUAUGUAGAGUUGGUUCACAAAGUUGUAUAACCUACUAAACAAGUUAUACAACAUUAGUAGACAUGUUGUGAUUCCGAUAACUAAAAUUCACAAACCAAAAUUCGACCGUCAGAUAUGAUCAUUAUGACGAAAGAUGUCUAUGGUAAAAAAUUCAAUUGGAUCCGACAACGUUAAGGGCUCGAUUGAAACGGUCA
rnacentral:lncRNA from 1 species